GCCUGACGCAGCAACGCCGCGUGCGGGAUGAAGGCCUUCGGGUUGUAAACCGCUUUCAGCAGGGAAGAAGCGAAAGUGACGGUACCUGCAGAAGAAGCACCGGCUAACUACGUGCCAGCAGCCGCGGUAAUACGUAGGGUGCAAGCGUUGUCCGGAUUUAUUGGGCGUAAAGAGCUCGUAGGCGGUUAGUCACGUCGGAUGUGAAAACCCAGUGCUUAACACUGGGCCUGCAUUCGAUACGGGCUGACUAGAGUGUUGUAGGGGAGACUGGAACUCCUGGUGUAGCGGUGAAAUGCGCAGAUAUCAGGAAGAACACCGGUGGCGAAGGCGGGUCUCUGGGCAACUACUGACGCUGAGGAGCGAAAGCGUGGGGAGCAAACAGGUUUAGAUACCCUGGUAGUCCACGCCGUAAACGGUGGGCGCUUUUUGGGGAACAUUCCACGUUCUCCGUGCCGCAGCUAACGCAUUAAGC
rnacentral:rRNA from 1 species